AACGUAGGAGACAAACGUUAUCCGGAGUUACUGGGCGUAAAGGGCGUGUAGGUGGUUUCGUAAGUCUGGCGUGAAAUUUCUCGGCUUAACCGAGGCAGGUCGUCGGAUACUGCGGAACUUGAGGACGGUAGAGGCGUGUGGAAUUCCGGGUGUAGUGGUGAAAUGCGUAGAGAUCCGGAGGAACACCAGUGGCGAAGGCGACACGCUGGGCCGUACCUGACACUGAUGCGCGACAGCAUGGGGAGCGAACAGG
rnacentral:rRNA from 1 species